rnacentral:rRNA from 1 species
UAGGGAAUCUUCGGCAAUGGACGAAAGUCUGACCGAGCAACGCCGCGUGAGUGAAGAAGGUUUUCGGAUCGUAAAACUCUGUUGUUAGAGAAGAACAAGGACGUUAGUAACUGAACGUCCCCUGACGGUAUCUAACCAGAAAGCCACGGCUAACUACGUGCCAGCAGCCGCGGUAAUACGUAGGUGGCAAGCGUUGUCCGGAUUUAUUGGGCGUAAAGCGAGCGCAGGCGGUUUCUUAAGUCUGAUGUGAAAGCCCCCGGCUCAACCGGGGAGGGUCAAUGGAAACUGGGAGACUUGAGUGCAGAAGAGGAGAGUGGAAUUCCAUGUGUAGCGGUGAAAUGCGUAGAUAUAUGGGGGAACACCAGUGGCGAAGGCGGCUCUCUGGACAAAGACUGACGCUCAGGUGCGAAAGCGUGGGGGGCAAACAGG